CAGCCGCCGCGGUAAUACAGAGGCCUCAAGCGUUGUUCGGAUUCAUUGGGCGUAAAGGGUGCGUAGGUGGCUUGGUAAGUUGAAGGUGAAAUCUCGGGGCUUAACCCCGAAACUGCCUUCAAUACUGCUAGGCUCGAGGACUGUAGAGGAGAAUGGAAUUCACGGUGUAGCAGUGAAAUGCGUAGAUAUCGUGAGGAAGACCAGUGGCGAAGGCGAUUCUCUGGGCAGUUCCUGACACUGAGGCACGAAGGCCAGGGGAGCAAACGGGAUUAGAUACCCGAGUAGUCCCUGUCUCUUAUAC
rnacentral:rRNA from 1 species